rnacentral:misc_RNA from 1 species
CCAAUAGCGUAUAUUAAAGUUGUUGCAGUUAAAAAGCUCGUAGUUGAAUUUCGGGAUUGGCGCAUCGGUCGUGCCUCACGGGGUAUGAACUGGUGCAGUCAAUUUCUCACCUUCUGGAGAACCGCGAUGUCCUUAAUUGGAUGCCGCGGGGAACCAGGACCUUUACUUUGAAAAAAUUAGAGUGUUUAAAGCAGGCAUUUUUGCUUGAAUACAUUAGCAUGGAAUAAUAAAAUAGGACGGCAUGGUUCUAUUUUGUUGGUUUCUAGGACCACCGUAAUGAUUAAUAGGGAUAGUUGGGGGCAUUAGUAUUCAAUUGUCAGAGGUGAAAUUCUUGGAUUUAUUGAAGACUAACUACUGCGAAAGCAUUUGCCAAGGAUGUUUUCAUUAAUCAAGAACGAAAGUUAGGGGAUCGAAGACGAUCAGAUACCGUCGUAGUCUUAACCAUAAACUAUGCCGACUAGGAAUCAGACGAUGUUAAUUUUUUAAUGGCUCGUUUGGCACCUUAC